AAAAAAAAUAAAAAAAUCUUUUCAGCCUCAUGCAGUUAUAUUGUCAUCGCCGUCCAAUUUGUUCCCCAGCUCCGUCAGCCAGACUGUGACACUUGGCUUUCUUCUGUAAAGACCCCGAGCAGCUCACUGCAGUUACAUAUUAACAGAGUGUUGUGCUAGCAGCGACGGUUUGCUUUCUCCUACCUGCAGCCUUUCCAUUCACACCCUCACGGGAGCAGAGCUGUGCUGCAUGUCCUUCAGGAUAUCAUUAAAAACACACCGCCUGGGCAAUUUGCAUGGAAGCUCUGCUGAAAGAUGUUUCAAGAUCCUUCCAGCCGAUGGUCCCAUCUGAUGUAAUCUGUUGCACUCCGAGGCAGAGCUUUGCGUAGAGGUAGAUUUGUGUGACUUUGAAGCUGCUGGUUACCUGCCACCCUUUGCAGCGAGAUUAUGUUACAAACUGUGGAAGGAAGAGAUUGGUUAUCAAACAUACAUAAUUUCUGAGCAAUUCUAACACUACAGGAGCCGUCUCCCAACC